UUCUAAUGAAAGAACCUAGUGGGGAAACCCCCACUCAACUCCCGAUUCGGUGUACACCCAAGAAUCACAAACAGACAG
rnacentral:pre_miRNA from 7 species